AACGAACGCUGGCGGCAGGCUUAACACAUGCAAGUCGAGCGCGUCCUUCGGUGUUAGCGGCAGACGGGUGAGUAACGCGUGGGAAUCUACCUUUUGCUACGGAAUAGCUCCGGGAAACUGGGAUUAAUACCGUAUGUGCCCUUUGGGGGAAAGAUUUAUCGGCAAGGGAUGAGCCCGCGUUGGAUUAGCUAGUUGGUGGGGUAAAGGCCUACCAAGGCGACGAUCCAUAGCUGGUCUGAGAGGAUGAUCAGCCACAUUGGGACUGAGACACGGCCCAAACUCCUACGGGAGGCAGCAGUGGGGAAUAUUAGACAAUGGGCGCAAGCCUGAUCCAGCCAUGCCGCGUGAGUGAUGAAGGCCUUAGGGUUGUAAAGCUCUUUCAGCGGAGAAGAUAAUGACGGUACCCGGAGAAGAAGCCCCGGCUAACUUCGUG
rnacentral:rRNA from 1 species